GCAUCCAGUUGCCAUCGGGCGAGCCGGGCGACUCUGGAGGGACUGCCGGCGACAAGCCGGAGGAAGGUGGGGAUGACGUCAAGUCAUCAUGGCCCUUAUGUCCAGGGCGACACACGUGCUACAAUGGCCGGCACAGCGGGAAGCGGAGGGGCGACCCUGAGCGGAUCCCUUGAAAGCCGGUCCCAGUUCGGAUUGCAGUCUGCAACUCGACUGCAUGAAGUUGGAAUCGCUAGUAAUCGCGGAUCAGCCAAGCCGCGGUGAAUACGUUCCCGGGCCUU
rnacentral:rRNA from 1 species